rnacentral:rRNA from 1 species
CUACGGGACGCACCAGUGAGGAAUUUUGCGCAAUGGGGGCAACCCUGACGCAGCAACGCCGCGUGAGUGAAGAAGGCCUUUGGGUCGUAAAGCUCUGUCAACAGGGAAGAGGUUACUAUGUAUAAAUAGUAUGUAGUAUUGACGGUACCUGUGGAGGAAGCAUCGGCUAACUCCGUGCCAGCAGCCGCGGUAAUACGGGGGAUGCAAGCGUUAUUCGGAAUCAUUGGGCGUAAAGGGCACGCAGGCGGCUCUGUCAGUCAGAUGUGAAAGCCCGGGGCUCAACCCCGGACGUGCAUUUGAAACAGCAGAGCUUGAGUACGGUAGAGGAAAGCGGAAUUCCUGGUGUAGAGGUGAAAUUCGUAGAUAUCAGGAGGAACACCGGUGGCGAAGGCGGCUUUCUGGACCGAAACUGACGCUGAGGUGCGAAGGCGUGGGUAGCGAACAGGAUUAGAUACCCCAGUAGUC